rnacentral:rRNA from 1 species
GUGAAAUUGUUGAAAGGGAAACGCUUGAAGUCAGUCACGUUGGCUAGAAAUCAGCCUUGCUCUUGCUUGGUGUACUUUCUGGUUGAUGGGUCAGCAUCAAUUUCGACCAUUGGAUAAAGUCUCUGGGAAUGUGGCAUCUUAGGAUGUGUUAUAGCCCAGGGUCGCAUACAGUGGUUGGGAUUGAGGAAUUCAGCACGCCGCAAGGCCGGGUUUCGACCACGUUCGUGCUUAGGAUGCUGGCAUAAUGGCUUUAAUCGACCCGUCUUGAAACACGGACCAAGGAGUCUAACAUGCCUGCGAGUGUUUGGGUGGAAAAACCCAUGUGCGCAAUGAAAGUGAAAGUUGAGAUCCCCCUCAAAAGGGAGCAUUGACGCCCGGACCAGACCUUCUGUGACGGAUCCGCGGUAGAGCAUGUAUGUUGGGACCCGAAAGAUGGUGAACUAUGCCUGAAUAGGGUGAAGCCAGAGGAAACUCUGGUGGAGGCUCGUAGCGAUUCUGACGUGCAAAUCGAUCGUCAAAUUUGGGUAUAGGGGCGAAAGACUAAUCGAACCAUCUAGUAGCUGGUUCCUGCCGGAGUUUCCCUCAGGAUAGCAGAAACUCAUUAUCAGAUUUAUGUGGUAAAGCGAAUGAUUAGAGGCCUUGGGGUUGAAACAACCUUAACCUAUUCUCAAACUUUAAAUAUGUAAGAACGAGCCGUCUCUUGACUGGAC